rnacentral:rRNA from 1 species
AUGUACAUAGCACCCCACAACAGCCACCAUCACCCAACACCACGCCACCCCAAGCCUCGCGAGACCGCCAAGGCAACCAACACCAGCUUCCAGUCCAGUAGACACCACGAGCACUCAGGCAACAAUUCCAAGGAAGGGACGAUGUCGUGCCGCCACUCCCAGGUCCGGCGAAGCGGGCCUAGGGGAUGGUCAAGGUCUCCAGGGAGGAGACGACGCCAGCCACGCAGGAAUUUUGUCGGAGCACCUUGUAACAACCGCACCGCCGCGAAGCAAAGCACGUCUUCUAUCAGAAAGCAUAUGUCCAAGCCAAGCUUAGUUUCUGAGUCAAAGGAUGUCUUCAAUCAGAAAGCCAGUAACAAGUAUUGGAUUGAUGUGCAACUAAGAUGGGGAGACUACGAUUCACACGGCAUAAAACGUUACACAAGAACAAAAUUUAUGGACUACACGACAGAUAAUAUGUCCAUCUACCCUUCUCUGACUGGUAUGACUGCCAUUUUCUUGCCUUGUCUGAGUCUUCUGUGCUUAAUGUUCAUUAAUUUUUCUUUUGGGGGUGAUGAUCACUGA